rnacentral:rRNA from 1 species
CUAAGAAUCUUGCGCAAUGGGCGAAAGCCUGAUCCAGCCAUGCCGCGUGAGUGUAGAAGGCCUUCGGGUUGUAAAGCUCUUUUAGUCGGAAAGAAAGAGUUGCAAUGAAUAAUUGUGAUUUAUGACGGUACCGACAGAAAAAGCACCGGCUAACUACGUGCCAGCAGCCGCGGUAAUACGUAGGGUGCGAGCGUUAAUCGGAAUUACUGGGCGUAAAGGGUGCGCAUGCGGUCUUGCAAGUCAGAUGUGAAAGCCCCGGGCUUAACCUGGGAAUUGCGUUUGAAACUAGAAGACUAGAGUGCAGCAGAGGGGAGUGGAAUUCCAUGUGUAGCAGUGAAAUGCGUAGAGAUGUGGAAGAACACCGAUGGCGAAGGCAGCUCCCUGGGUUGACACUGACGCUCAUGCACGAAAGCGUGGGGAGCAAACA